AUUGAACGCUGGCGGCAGGCCUAACACAUGCAAGUCGAGCGGAUGAAGGGAGCUUGCUCCUGGAUUCAGCGGCGGACGGGUGAGUAAUGCCUAGGAAUCUGCCUGGUAGUGGGGGAUAACGUCCGGAAACGGGCGCUAUUACCCCUAACGUCCUGAGGGAGAAAGGGGGGGACUUUGGGACCCCCCGCUUCAAGAGGGGCCUAGGUCGGAUUAGCUAGUUGGUGGGGUAAAGGCCUACCAAGGCGACGAUCCGUAACUGGUCUGAGAGGAUGAUCAGUCACACUGGAACUGAGACACGGUCCAGACUCCUACGGGAGGCAGCAGUGGGGAAUAUUGGACAAUGGGCGAAAGCCUGAUCCAGCCAUGCCGCGUGUGUGAAGAAGGUCUUCGGAUUGUAAAGCACUUUAAGUUGGGAGGAAGGGCAGUAAGUUAAUACCUUGCUGUUUUGACGUUACCAACAGAAUAAGCACCGGCUAACUUCGUG
rnacentral:rRNA from 1 species